UGCAGUCGAGCGGAACGAGUUAUCUGAACCUUCGGGGGACGAUAACGGCGUCGAGCGGCGGACGGGUGAGUAAUGCCUAGGAAAUUGCCCUGAUGUGGGGGAUAACCAUUGGAAACGAUGGCUAAUACCGCAUGAUGCCUACGGGCCAAAGAGGGGGACCUUCGGGCCUCUCGCGUCAGGAUAUGCCUAGGUGGGAUUAGCUAGUUGGUGAGGUAAGGGCUCACCAAGGCGACGAUCCCUAGCUGGUCUGAGAGGAUGAUCAGCCACACUGGAACUGAGACACGGUCCAGACUCCUACGGGAGGCAGCAGUGGGGAAUAUUGCACAAUGGGCGCAAGCCUGAUGCAGCCAUGCCGCGUGUGUGAAGAAGGCCUUCGGGUUGUAAAGCACUUUCAGUCGUGAGGAAGGGAGUGUAGUUAAUAGCUGCAUUAUUUGACGUUAGCGACAGAAGAAGCACCGGCUAACUCCGUGCCAGCAGCCGCGGUAAUACGGAGGGUGCGAGCGUAAAUCGGAAUUACUGGGCGUAAAGCGCAUGCAGGUGGUUUGUUAAGUCAGAUGUGAAAGCCCGGGGCUCAACCUCGGGAAUUGCAUUUGAAACUGGCAGACUAGAGUACUG
rnacentral:rRNA from 1 species